UACAGCUAGAAAAAUAGAAAAACAGCACACCAAAACCAAAAGCAAAAGACAGACCGUCAAAAGCAAAACAAACAGCUAAAAAACCAAAACCGAAGCAAGAACCCAAAAGAAUACCAGCAAAACUUCCGAUGAAAUCAACAACUAAAAACUCCAGAGAUCGAAAAAGAAGGAACUUUGAAAACAAACAAGGAGAUUCUAAGAACCUUCUCCAAACUUCAAAGCCCACAACCAGAUCAGCACCGAUGAAACCAGUCCUGACGAUCCAACUCCGCUACCUCAACAACCGAUGAGGGUGCCUCUUAAACCCAGUAGCAAGGUAACUUCUGAUUCCGGCCCACCAUCGCCAGCUCAUACGCCGCUUUAUUUGCCUCCCUGGGGACAAAAUUGUAAGUAACCUCUUCAAGAGCUCCAGCCAAAACCCGAAUAUGCUAAGAAAUAGGACUGAGAAUAGAUCUAUCAGUAAUAUUUGAAUUUAAUUUCUUGAUAAAAGUUAGCGAAUCACCCUCCAGGACAACCUUCCUAAAACCCAUAUCCAAAGCAAAAUAGAGAGCCCUCUCACAAGCUCUUGCCUCAGCCACAAAAGCAUCUACAACAUCCACCAACGGGUACGUACUCGCUCCCAUAAUCAGGCCCUCAGAAUCCCUAGCUAACACAGCUGAAAUAGAGAAAUUAGUAUUUUUCGCAAAAGAGGCGUCAAAAUUUAGCUUAAUAAUCCCAGGAUUAGGAGGUCUCCACAGAACAUUCCUUCUCAUACCAGCAGUCAAAUCUUUAUUUUGAACAAAACUUAAGUCUUGACCAUAGCUCUGAAUAAAACCUACUAUUUCAUGGAGCUCAAAAUGUAAGCCUUUAUUAACUAGCUUAUUUCUCUUAUACCAGAGAGCCCACAAAGAGAUAGCACUGAGUUUCUUAGAAUUCAUAUCCAUUGCUAGAAAAGCACUGACAAAAUUUGUUUUUCCAUCCGAGGUAAAAACACCAAAGUCCAGAGAGAGUUGCAAAAGAAACCAAAGCUGCCGCAAGACGCUACAGUACCAUAAAAUGUGGUGGGAGUCCUCCGGCUCUGACUUGCACAGAGGACACACCAAAUCAGCCCACAAUCUCCUUUGCACCAAGUUCGUAAAGUGGGGCACAUAGUUCUUAAGAAGGCGCCAAAGAUGAAUCUUUAUUUUAGCAGGGAUCUGGAGAUCCCAAAUUGAUGUAAAAAUUUUCCUGUAAUUCUCAGAUAUAACUAUUUGCUGAAUCAUACUUGUAAUCAAAGGCCUAUACCCACUCUUCACUGAGUAUUCCCUAGAAGCGUCAUGCCACCAAACUAGCAAAUCAGAAGACCCACGCCCAGUAAUGGGGAUAUUGAGGAUACACCGAGCCUGCUCAAUAUCAAAAAGUCGAUAAAUAACCUCCUUUUUCAGGGCCCGGUAUCCAUGGAUCAUUCUAAAUAUUCACCUUCGCACCACUACCUAUCCGCCACAGUAGACCAUCAGCAAACACAUCCCUGGCACUACAAAUGCUCCUCCAGGUAAAAGAAGGGUAAGACCCCACUUUAGCUGAAAAAUAUCAGAUAAUGGAAAGUAACGGGCUUUAAAAACUUUUGAAAGAAGACAAUCGGGUUGAGUAAAAAUUUGCCAAACUUGCUUAGCUAAAAGGGCUUUGUUAAACAAAUAAAGAUCACGGAAGCCCAUCCCACCAUAAGUCUUUGGUAAACAAAGUGCACUCCACGUACUCCAAUGGAUACCUUUAGAUGUCUUGUUAUUGGCCAACCAAAACUUAUUCAAUAUUCCUUCAAGUUGAUGACAGAAGGUUUUAGGUAACUCAAAAUAUUGCAUAAUGUAGACUGGAAGAGCUUGAAGAACUGCCUUAAUAAAAACUUCUUUCGUACCUAAAACUCCAUCCAGCAAUACGCUUUCGAAAUCGAUCCGCAAAUUUGAAAAAGCCCAUAUCUUCUUCCUCCCCACCAUCAUUGGAAGACCCAAAUACUUAUCAGAUUCGAUGCCUAUCUAACACCCAAAAUGUCAAUAAUCUUAGAACAGACUACCUCUCCCACAUUCGCACCAAAAUAUAUUAAUGACUUUCCCAAAUUAAUUUUUUGCCCCGAGAGAUAUUGCGAACAGAGCAAGCACCCUCAACCGAAGCGUCACCAAAAAUGAUGCAAUCAUCAGCAAACAACAAGUGAGUUAUCGUAAAUUUCCUUCUACCAAUCGGAGCUCCCUUUAGCUCAUUUUUAACCUUAGCCUCCCUCAACAAACAAGAAAGCCCUUAAGCACAAAGGAGAAAAAGGUAGGGACUAAGAGGAUCAACUUGUCGUAAUCCUCUAGAUGGGCUAAAACUCUCACUAACAUCGCCAUUAAUGCCUAUCGUAUAAGUGACCGAACAGACACAACGCAUGAUAAGGACCAACUAAUCCUGAUGGAAACCCAAUCUAGACAACAUUCCAGCCAAGAAAUCCCAUUCCACCCGAUCAUAGGCUUUGCUAAGGUCAAUCUUAAGAGCAAAAUUCCCCUAUUUACCCUUUUUCUUCAUUUUUAGAGAGUGAAUAACCUCAUAGGCAAUAAGGGUAUUAUCUGAGAUUUGCCUUCUAGGGAUAAAAGCACCUUGGGCUUCAUCAACACAAGAGCCUAGAAAAGGACUCAUACGAACAACGAUAGCUGUAGCAAUGAUCUUAUAGAGAACAUUACAUAAGCUAAUAGGACGAAAUUGAGAAAGAUCCUUAGGCUUAUCAACCUUAGGGAUAAGAACAAUAUGAGUCUUGUUAAUCUCGCCCAUCUCCCUUCUACCAUUCAAAACCUCCAGACAGAAAUUAGCGACCUCGUCCCCAACAAUAUGCCAAAACUGCUGGAAAAAUAGAGUCGGAAAACCAUCAGAUCCUGGGGCCUUCAAUGGCGCCAUAGACUUAACUGCUAGCCAAAUGUCAUCCUUUGUGAAUGGUUGAAGAAGUUUUCCAUUCAUAGUCCUAGUAAUUCAUUUUUCAACAAGACCAAGUACUCGAUCAUCACCUCCCAAGGCAGAAGCUGUAAAAAAGUUCUCAAAAUACUUCACGGCAAUUAUCAACAUAUCCUCUGCACCCGUAACCCUUGGCCAGAAUCAUCCUCCAACCCCAGAAUUCGAUUGCGAUUGUGAUGGGCCACAGCCACCUUAUGAAAAAAGGAUGAAUUCCUAUCGCCAUACUGAAACCAGUUAAGACGAGCACGCUGAGCCCAAAAAACCUCCUCUUUAUCUACUUCAAAAUUCAACCCAAGUAUGGAUGAUAUUUAUAUAGUAUGUUUGAAUAUACAAUUAUAAUCUAGUAUAAAUUAAUGGAAUGAAAUAAAAGUAUAAAAUGUAUAUAAGUAUAGUUGAUAUUCGAGUAAGCAUGUAUAUAUCUAUAUAUGUAUAAAUGUUUUAUUGUAUUGAAUUUAGGCAAGAAAGUUAUGUAUAUGCAUAUGUUAGAUUCGAAUAUAUUUAUACAAAAGCAUGAACAAGUUUUGAAUCUAGACAAGGGUAUAUGUAUAUGUAUAUGUAUAUGUAUAUGUAUAUGUAUAUGUAUAUGUCUAUGUCUAUGUCUAUGUAUAUGUAUAUGUAUAUGUAUAUGUAUAUGUAUAUAAAAUUGAAUAUAUAUAUAAAUUCUUGAAUUUAGUUAAGGUAUGAAUGUUGAAUAUAUAUAUAAAUUCAUGGUUUAAAUCAAAGGUGUUUAUAACUUGUACAUAUAUAUGGUUCGAAUAUAUAUAUAUAUAUAUAUAUAUAUAUAUACACACAUGUGUAGAUUUUGAAUUUGAUUUAAGAUAUGUAAUUCAUGAGUUUAUACGUAGUAUCGAAUAGGUAUGUAUAAAUGUGGGAUUGAAAUUUAUAUGUAUAUACUAUAUUCGAUUGAGCAUGUUUACAUAUAUGUAUAAGUGCUUAUUUGAAUUUAGGUAUGAUAUUUGUGUAAGUUUAUAUGAGGUUCGAUUAAGUAGGUAUAUGUGUAUGUGUGCUUAUAAUGAAUUUAAGUAUGGAAUUAUACAUAUGAUUUUGAGUAAGUUUCGAUUAUGUGCGUUUAUUCAUGUAAAAAUUCUUGAAUGAAAGUGAAGAUAUGAGAUUAUUAGUUUGGAUGACUAUUAAAGUGAGCGAAUACAAUACAGACUUUACGUCUAACAGGCUUGAUGCCGGUGAUAUAAUUCAGACUAUACGUCUAGCAGGCUUCAUGCCAGUGAAACUAAUCGGACUAUAAGUCUAGCAGGCUAAAAGCCGGUGUACUGAAUCAAGUUUUAAAACCUAGCAGGCUAAAUGCCGGUAAAUUUUUUUAUAUUAUUUGUUUAAAUAUAUUGAAUGCGUACGUGAUAUAUAUAUAUCAUACAUGUCCGAGGAACAUGUAUAUACAUUUGGUUAAUGAAUUUGAUGAGCAUAUAAAUAUUCGUUAUUA